UACAGAGGUCUCAAGCGUUGUUCGGAUUCAUUGGGCGUAAAGGGUGCGUAGGCGGCGCGGUAAGUCGGGUGUGAAAUCUCGGAGCUUAACUCCGAAACUGCAUUCGAUACUGCCGUGCUUGAGGACUGGAGAGGAGACUGGAAUUUACGGUGUAGCGGUGAAAUGCGUAGAUAUCGUAAGGAAGACCAGUGGCGAAGGCGGGUCUCUGGACAGUGACUGACGCUGAGAUGCGAAAGCGUGGGGAGCAAACAGG
rnacentral:rRNA from 1 species